CGCAUCUGUGCAUGCAGCAUAUCAAUAAGCGGAGGAAAAGAGGGCUAUUACCUACGCUUAGGAUGUUGAAGUCAUCGUAUCGCGCAUGCUCGAUCUAAACAUGACUCUGCGCAUAUCAAUAAGCGGAGGAAAAGAAACUAACAAGGAUUCCCUUAGUAACGGCGAGUGAAGCGGGAAGAGCUCAAAUUUGAAAUCUUCAGGGUUUUACCUUGACGAAUUGUAGUUUAAAGAAGUGUUUUCUGCUGAAGUUUUGGUAAAAGUUCUUUGGAAUAGGACAUCAUAGAGGGUGAGAAUCCCGUAUUUGACCAUUAUUUUCAGCUUUGUGAUACACUUUCAAAGAGUCGGAUUGUUUGGGAAUGCAGUCCAAAAUGGGUGGUAAAUUUCAUCUAAAGCUAAAUAUUGGCGAGAGACCGAUAGCAAACAAGUACCGUGAGGGAAAGAUGAAAAGAACUUUGAAAAGAGAGUUAAACAGUACGUGAAAUUGUCAAAAGGGAAGCGUUUGACACCAGUGUUGUUUUCUCGAAAAUCAAUUAAAAAUGGCUCGAUUUUGUAUUGCUGAGACCUUAAGAGCUCACUGUACAUUUUUCGUGUCUUUUUUAAUGCACUUUUCGUUUAACAAGUCAACAUCAGUUUCUUUUGUUGUAAAAGGGUCAUUGGAAGGUGGCUUUCUUUUCGGAGAAAGUGUUUAUAGCCUUUGGCCUCUGCAAUCGGAGAGACUGAGGUCCGCAGCGUAGACUCUUCGGGGUUAGAUACAUUUGUGCUAAGUUAUAGCUUUUUAUAGACAACUUGUUGACUAUAAUUAGUCUUGUAGCUUACUCGCUUAUGCUAUUUUACCUACGCUUAGGAUGUUGACGCAUGAGAUAUACGC
rnacentral:rRNA from 1 species